UUGAGAAGGAUAGGUUAAGGAAACUUAAGGCCCUCCGCAUAAACCCUUUCGGGGAAAGCAGGGGACCGUAAAAGGCCUUGCGCGAUUGGAUGAGCCUACCUCGGAUUAGCUAGUUGGUGGGGUAAAGGCCUACCAAGGCGACGAUCCGUAGCUGGUCUGAGAGGACGACCAUCCACACUGGGACUGAGACACGGCCCAGACUCCUACGGGAGGCAGCCCUAAGGAAUAUUGGACAAUGGGCGCAAGCCUGAUCCAGCGAUGCCGCGUGUGUGAAGAAGGCCUGCGGGUUGUAAAGCACUUUCAGUGGGGAGAAAGAAGCUUAAGUUAAUACCUUGAGCUGAAGAUGUUACCCACAGAAGAAGCACCGGCUAACUCUGUGCCAGCCGCCGCGGUAAUACAUAGGGUGCAAGCGUUAAUCGAAAUUACUGGGCGUAAAGGGUGCGUAGGUGGUUUGAUAAGUUUAGAUGUGAAAGUCCUGGGCUCAACCUGGGGACUGCGUCUGAUACUGUUGAGCUUGAGUUCUGUAUAGGAAGGUGGAAUUUCC
rnacentral:rRNA from 1 species